rnacentral:rRNA from 1 species
UCGAACGGUUAAAGCACCUUCGGGUGUGUAUAGAGUGGCGAACGGCUGAGUAACACGUGGGCAACCUGCCCUUUGCAUCGGGACAGCCUCGGGAAACCGUGGUUAAUACCGGAUACUCCAUCUUUCUCACAUGAAAAAGAUGGGAAAGUGUUUAGCGGCAAGGGAUGGGCCCGCGCCCUGUUAGCUUGUUGGUGGGGUAAAAGCCUACCAAGGCAAUGAUGGGUAGCCGGGUUGAGAGACCGACCGGCCAGAUGGGGACUGAGACACGGCCCAGACUCCUACGGGAGGCAGCAGUGGGGAAUCUUGCACAAUGGGCGAAAGCCUGAUGCAGCGACGCCGCGUGCGGGAUGAAGGCCUUCGGGUUGUAAACCGCUUUCAGCAGGGACGAGGCGAAAGUGACGGUACCUGUAGAAGAAGCCCCGGCUAACUACGUGCCAGCAGCCGCGGUAAUACGUAGGGGGCAAGCGUUAUCCGGAUUCAUUGGGCGUAAAGCGCGCGUAGGCUGCCCAGUAGGUCGAGAGUUAAAUCCGGGGGCUCAACCCCCGUCCGCUCCCGAUACCGCUGGGCUUCGAGUCUGGUAGGGGAAGGUGGAAUUCCCAGUGUAGCGGUGGAAUGCGCAGAUAUUGGGAAGAACACCGGUGGCGAAGGCGGCCUUCUGGGCCAUGACUGACGCUGAGGCGCGAAAGCUAGGGUAGCGAACAGGAUU